rfam:Rhizobiales bacterium TMED28 16352, whole genome shotgun sequence.
GCUCCCUUCGUCUAUCGGUUAGGACGCAAGGUUUUCAACCUUGAAAGAGGGGUUCGAUUCCCCUAGGGAGCG